GCCCAAGUUUUCCUGAAGCUUAUCGGAACGUGUAGUUCUAUUGCGUCCUGCCAAAAAUCUGAACGGGAGUCACCGGAAGUACUGUAGCUUGCCUGAAAUCCUUGCCGGAAAAAUAAGGCACCUGUCCAAGAAAACAGAACACACCCACACACCCACAAACAAGUAGAAGAGAGAAUAGAAAGAAAAGAGCAGGGGUUGCCGGAAAAAUCGCCGGCGAAAAAUAAUUAAUGUGAGUUUAAUACCAAAUUGGCUUUAAUUGAGGAGAAACAAACAAAAGUUUGAACUAGGGGUUUUGGGCUUUUUUUUUAGAUCUACAAAUCGGAGAAAACUAGAGGGAAUUGAGGGAAACAGUUAUGGGAUCUGAGGAGAGAGGCGAAUGAGAUUAUCUGGAUAAAAGAUGGGUUGUUUUCCGUUCACUUUCUGGCUGUGUUGAGCGAAAUAGAGGGGCGAAUGAGAUUGUCUAAAGAUGUGCCUAAUCUUCGUGGAAGGAUUUUCUAAUGCUUUUACACUAUCACUUAAGAGAUGGAAGAAGAAAAACAAAAAUUUCAGCAGGCACUAUUUGAAAGAGAGAUAAACAGAAAAU
rnacentral:lncRNA from 1 species